rnacentral:rRNA from 1 species
GACGUAGGGUGCAAGCGUUGUCCGGAAUUAUUGAGCGUAAAGAGCUCGUAGGCGGUUUGUCGCGUCUGCUGUGAAAUCCCGAGGCUCAACCUCGGGCCUGCAGUGGGUACGGGCAGGCUAGAGUUCGGUAGGGGAGACUGGAAUUCCUGGUGUAGCGGUGAAAUGCGCAGAUAUCAGGAGGAACACCGGUGGCGAAGGCGGGUCUCUGGGCCGAUACUGACGCUGAGGAGCGAAAGCGUGGGGAGCGAACAGG